AAACAAUGCAAAAAUAUUCAUAGAUUUAAAUUUCUCUACAAACAGUUGGUCUGGUCACAGUAUACUCAAUGAUGGGUUUUAGUGUGCUCUGUAAUGUCUGUCCUCUUACCAUUGCUGGUAUGGAUUCCAAAAUAAAAAAUAAAUAAAAUAAAGUGUGCGUAUGUAUGUACAUAUAUGUACUUGUGUGUGUAGAUAUAUAUGUAUGUAUAUGUAUGUGUGUUUGUUACUUGUAGUUAUUACUGCCUGUUACCUGUGGUAAUGCAAUUUAUAAUUUAUAUAUUCUGUAUUCAGUUAUGAAGGCUCUAAUUGUUGGUUGCGAGCUGCCGCUUAGAUGCUUGUAUCUGCCCGGGGCUGUUGAUGGGUCUGUAUGCAAUGAUGGGCGUAGCUGCGGGAAGUUUAUUGUUUUUUUUUGUUGAUGAGUGAGUAUAGGGGUGGGAUUUAAUAAGUUUUCUUCGUCCCACUCCUUUUUCAGGCAAGUUUUGUUUUUUGUUUUGUGUAUUUUAUGUUCAAUAUAGGUAUUUGUUGUGCCUGAAAAUGAAUAAAUAAAUGAAAAAAUGAAAUGAAUGACGUUGCAUCUGAAUGGAAAUCGGUGUCUACAUUCCACAUGACAAAUGUUUUUUGUAAGUCUUAACCAAUGUUGUUGUCACUUUUAGGCAAGCACAUUAGUCGUGUGUGCACUCCACCUUCUUGGCACCGGACAGGUGGGUGUGGCUGAUAUAUAUAGGCUCAUCCGUCUGCACUGCUUCACUUUCAGGGCAAUCAGAUUCAAUUAAAGUGGUCCAAAAUGCUCAUAUUUGGGGUUCUACAAUUUGCUUUGGUGGUUUUCGCUUGCGAGCCCACAGGAGAUACUGAUGCAGCCUCUAGAAACGACUGUUACCGAAAAGACUGUGAUGGAACAGUGUAUGACAUCCAAGAGGCUACUUGCUGUGGAAACAGACUUCACCCAGGUGGAAGUUUGUCUUGUUGUGGAAAUGAGCCUUACAAUCCUGAAACAGCCACUUGUUGUAAACACAACAUCACAGCCAGUGUUACUCAGGGUCUGAGUGAAAAGGUGUCCAAGUGCUGUGACCUAAAGGUGUACAACCCAAUCAAUGAAAUAUGUUGUCAAUCAACCAUCAUAUCAAAACGUGGACCAAUGGCUGAAUGCUGUGGUAACGAUGUUUUUGAUAAGGACAAACAGUUGUGUUGUGGUCCAGCUGAUAAUAAGACAAUUCUGGUGAGGAAUUCCCGUCACCAUGAGUGCUGCGGUCACAGCCAGUAUGACACUGAGACUCAGUGCUGCUGUUCAAAUGAGGAGAAGUUGGAGAUACAAUCGAAGGAUUCAUCCUGCUGUGUCAGGAAUUUCAGUCCAGGUGUGGAAAAACAGAUCACAGAGCUUCAACCCAACUGCACUGAACCAAACACACACCUCUGUGGGUCAUCAUGUUACAAUCCAAAGGAAAGUCAGUGCUGUGAGAGAAAUCAAAAGCCUCACUGGUUCUGUGCCUCAGGUCUAAGCAAGACGACACCAACUGUGUAUAACCCACGCACACAAGUCUGUUGUGAUGGAUGUGUAUCUGCGUGGAAGCCUUGGAUAGAUCAAUGCUGUGGAGAGACGCCGUAUGGCUCGGCACAACGUGGAGUUCUGUGUUGUAAUAAGAGCUUGUACGAGGGCAGAGACGAUGGAGAGGAAUGUUCAGAGAUGGGUAUUCCUUACAACCCGGCUAAAGGGACCAUGUGUUGUUCUCACUUUCAUGGCAGCCCAGGACAACACUGCUGUGGGACAGAAAUUUACCAGCCUCAUGCUGAGAUCUGCUGCAAUGGACACAGGCAUCUCAAAUCAGAAAACAUUUACUGCUGUGGGGUCAAAGCCUACAACAUUAAAGACCCACAGAUGAAGUGCUGUGCAGGAACACUGUACAAUCUGACAUCGUUAGACAAGCAUGGAGGGGAUGCACAAUGCUGUGGAUCCAUUCUGCAAAGGCCACAGGACAUUUGCUGCUCAAGUGAGGACAAAGAGGUGCUGUACUCUGCCAAGACAGGGUUUAGCUGCUGUGGUCACCUCUACUAUAACACCAGCCUGUGGUCAUGCUGUGCUGGGAGGCUGAGAUCAAUCCAUGAAGCAGGACAGGAUCAGAGAAAGAUGAUAAAAGAAUCCAGAGUUCUAUCUGUGAAUAAUUUGAAUAAAGCUAAUCUUUGCAGAGUGUACAUUGGGGCUGUGGAAAGUGUCUCUCUGCAGAGCGUUGUGUUCAGGAAUGUUUUGAAGGUCUAUGGGAUGCAGGCCAAAGUGAAAGCUCUGCCUUUGCCCUACGUCCUGGAAACAAAUGAUCGCUGUAGCUAUCCUAAACUGAUUCCUGGGAAGACCUACUUCUUUAACAAAGACAAUAUUUUCACUGGUUUCAUCGAUGAUUCUUUUCUGCAGCCACUCCAUUUCAUUAUUUCCAAGUGUUCACCUAGGAUCACCACUCACCGAAAAUUAAUCAGUAUGCCUUUUGCAUACUGAGCACUCACACUAAAGCUGAGUGUAUGCUGACACCAGCCCAGCAGCUAGACCCUGAACUUCAAAAUGUAACAAAGGCAAUAAUGAACAGAUAGGCUGGUAGCAUUAUAACCUUCACUUCUAAAUGUACAUGUUUCUAAAACAGAUAUAUUGUGGGGAUUACUUUGUCUUUGAGCUGGUUUUAAAUUUUGCUCUCUGUAGCUUAAGAUUCAAAUCUAAUUUUCAAUAUAAGGACUGUUUUUAAUACUUUAUGGAAUCCUUAAAAUGUCAAUCCUUUCAGGACUGUGUGAACUCUUUGGGACUUGUAUAUUGGACAAUUGAUAUGCAUGCAGCUUUAUGGCCAAAUGAAGCCUGUUUCCUCAUUGUUGCAAACAAAGCAGAUAAAUGAUCUUGAGUUUAUUCUAUGUGUUGAAUGUGGCUUUGAUAGAUUUACAGUGGAGCUCUCAAUGUAAAUCUAUCAAACAGUGAACUUUCUUUUUAAUAUUCUGCUUUUUAAGCAGCCUAUUAUUCUGUGUUAUUCUGUGGUGCAUAAAGUAGAUAUUUGAAGCAAUAUUGAUGCAACAGAGUUCAGUGGGGAGUCAAUCUUUCAUUGUGUGAAUUUAUAGAUGAAAAUUAUAUCUGUAAAAUGAAAAUUAAACCAGCUUCAUCUCAAAGAAUAAAUGAAUUAACUUCCUAUCGUGUUCACUAUCUUCUAUAUUUAUUACUGACUGUAGUCACUUCAUGAUAUAACCACACUUUGACUAGUUGACACAGAAGAUAAAGUUAACCUUUCCCAAGACCAGACAUUGGCUAUAUCAUAUGACUCAUUAAACUCAUUAAGUUAGGACAUUAUAAAGGAUAACUAUUAAAGGUGCCACUAAAAGUCAAAAGAUAGCCAUAUGUUGUAACUUUAUUGCAGUUUUUGUUUGAUAACAGCAUUUUGAUUAUUUUGUAAGUGAUUUAAGUGUUAGUCACAUGUUUAGUGAGG
ensembl:lncRNA